rnacentral:lncRNA from 1 species
CCCACUCUCCUCAUCCCUCUCUCCUCAUUCUUCUCUCCUCAUCUCUCUCUCCUCAUUCUUCUCUCCUCAUCUCUCUCUCCUCAUUCUUCUCUCCUCAUCUCUCUCCACCCCCUCUCUCCUCAUUCUUCUCUCCUCAUCCCUCUCUACCCCCCUCUCUCCUUCAUCUCUCCACCCCCUCUCCUCAUCCCUCUCCCCUCAUUCCUCUCCACCCCCUCUCUCCUCAUCCCUCUCUCCACCCACCUCUCUCCUCAUCCUUCUCUCCUUGUCCCUCCCCAACCCUCCUCUCUCCUCAUCCCUUUCUCCACCCACCUCUCUCCUCAUCCCUCUCUCCACCCCCGCUUUCUCCUCAUCUCGCUCUCCAAACCUUCCCCCCAGCCUGAAUGUAUUUGGGAGCCCGGAUGUGACCAUGGAGCCAAUGGUGUGUGCUGCAGAAGUCCUCACCAGGAGUAACGUCAUAAAGUGUUCCUGUCAGAUCUGGUGACUCCCCUGCUUCAGAACGGGAGGAAAAUAACUAGCGAUGAUCAGUGCAUGUGCUUGACAUGUCCCCUUCAUUAUCACUCCAGGAAAUACUGGAGAUGCACAAUCGAGAGCAUCCUGUCGGGCUGUAUCACCGCCUGGUACGGCAACUGCUCUGCCCACAACCGUAAGGCUCUCCAGAGGGUAAUGAGGUCUGUACAAUGCAUCACCGGGGGCAAACUACCUGCCCUCCAGGAACCUACACCACCCGAUGUCACAGGAAGGCCAAAAAGAUCAUCAAGGACAACAACCACCCGAGCCACUGCCUGUUCACCCCGCUAUCAUCCAGAAGGCGAGGUCAGUACAGGUGCAUCAAAGCUGGGACCAAGAGACUGAAAAACAGCUUCUAUCUCAAGGCCAUCAGACUGUUAAACAGCCAUCACUAACAUUGAGUGGCUGCUGCCAACAUACUGACUCAAAUCUCCAGCCACUUUAAUAAUUAAAAAUUGGAUGUAAUAAAUGUAUCACUAGUCACUAAACAAUGCCACUUCAUAUAAUGUUUACAUACCCUACAUUACUCAUCUCAUAUGUAUAUACUGUACUUUAUACCAUCUACUGCAUCUUGCCUAUGCCCUUCGGCCAUCGCUCAUCCAUAUAUUUAUAUGUACAUAUUCUUAUAUUCUUAUUCACUCCUUUACACUAGUAUGUAUAAGGUAGUUGCUGUGAAAUUGUUAGAUUACUUGAUUACGGUCGGAACUAGAAGCACAAGUAUUUCGCUACACUCGCAUUAACAUCUGCUAACCAUGUGUAUGUGACCAAUACAAUUUGAUUUGAUUUGAUCAAUGUUACAUUAUGUCUUACAGUAUAUCAAUGUAACAUUGUCUCCUAUAUCAAUAUAACAGUGUAUCCUAUAUCACUGUAACAGUGUGUGCUAUAUCAAUGUAACAUUGUGUCCUAUAUCAAUGUAACAUUGUCUUCUAUAUCAAUAUAACAGUGUAUCCUAUAUCAAUGUAACAGUGUGUGCUAUAUCAAUGUAACAUUGUGUCCUAUAUCAAUGUAACAUUGUCUCCUAUAUCAAUAUAAUAGUGUAUCCUAUAUCAAUGUAACAUUGUGUCCUACAGUUUAACAAUGUAACAAUGUGUCCUAUAGUAUAUCAAUGUAAAAUUAUGUCCUACAGUAUAUAAAUGUAGCAUUGUUGCAUAUAUCAAUGUAACAUUGUGUCCUAUAUCAAUGUAACAUUGUGUCCUAUAUCAAUGUGACAUUGUGUCCUAUAUCAAUGUGACAUUGCGUUCAAUUUCAAUGUAACAUUGUGUUUUAUAUCAAUGUAACAUUGUGUCCUAUAUUGAAGUAACAGUAUGUACUAUAUCAAUGUAACAUUGUGUGCCAUAUCAAUGUAAAUCUCUGUCUUGUAUCAAUGUAACACUGUGGCCUAAAUCAAUGAAAAAAAUGUGUCCUAUAUUAAUGUAACAGUGUGGCCUAUAUCAAUGUAAAAGUGUGUCCUAUAUUAAUGUAACAUUGUGUCCUAUAUCAACGCAAAAGUGUUUCUUCUAUCAAUGUAAAAGUAUGUCCUAUAUCAAUGUAACACUGUGUCCUAUAUCAUUUAACAUUGUAUCCAAUAUCAAUGUAACAUUGUGACCUAUAUCAAUGCAACAAUGUGUCCUAUAUCAAUGUGACUGUAUGUCAUUUAUCAAUCUAACAUUGUGUCCUAUGUCAAUAUAAAAUUGUGUCUUAUAUGAAUGUAACAUUGUGUCCUAUAUCAAUUUAACAUUGUCGUAUAUCAAUGUAACAUUAUGUCAUAUAUAAAUUUAACAUUGUGUCCUUUAUCAAUGUAACAAUGUGUCUUAUAGAAUGUAAUAGUGUGUCCUAUAUCAAUGUAACAUUGUGUCCUACCGUAUAUCAAAGCAAAAAUGUUUCCUACAGUAUAUCAAUGUAACAUUGUGUCCUAUAUCAAUGUAACAUUGUGUCCUAUAUCAAUGUAUCAAUGUGUCCUACAGUUUAUGAAUGUAACAUUGUGUCCUAUAUAAAUGUAGCAUUAUUUCCUAAAUCAAUUUAGCAUUGUGUCCUAUAUCAAUGUAACAUUCUGUCCUAUAUCAAUGUAUCAUUGUGUCCUAUAUCAAUGUAUCAAUGUGUCCUACAGUUUAUGAAUGUAACAUUGUGUCCUAUAUAAAUGUAGCAUUAUUUCCUAUGUCAAUUUAGCAUUGUAUAUCAAUGUCACAUUCUGUCCUAUAUCAAUGUAACAUUGUGUCCUAUAUUAAUGUAACAUUGUCCUAUAUCAGUGUAACAGUAUGUCUUAUGUCAAUGUAACAUUGUUUCCUAUAUCAAUGUAAUAAUGUGUCCAACAGUAUGUCAAUGAAACAUUGUGAUCUAAUUCAAUGUAAAAGUGUGUCCUAUAUCAUUGUAACGUAUUGUAAUAUAUCUAUGUAACAAUAUGUCAUAUAUCAAUGUAACAUUGUGUCCUAUAUCAAUGUAACAUUGUGUCCUAUAUCAAUGUAACAAUGUGUUCAAUUUCAAUAUAACAUUGUGCCCUAUAUCGAUAUAACCGUAUGUCUAUAUCAAUGUAACAUUGUGUGCCAUAUCAAUGUAAAUCUCUGUCAUCUUUUAAUGCAUCAUUGUAAAAGUGUGUCCUAUAUCAAUGUCACAUUGUGUCCUAUAUCAAUGUAACAUUGUCCUUUAUCAAUGUAACAUUGUGUUCUAUAUCAACAUAACAAUGUGUCCUAAAGUAUAUGACUGUAACAUUGUGCCCUAUAUCAUUGUAACAUUGUGUGCUAUAUCAUCGUAAAAUUGUGUCCUAUAUCAACGCAACAUUGUGUCCUAUAUCAAUGUAAGAUUGUGUCCUAUAUCAAUGUAACAUUGUGUCCUAUAUCAAUGUAACAGAAUGUCAUAUAUCAAUGUAACAUUGUGUCCUGUAUCAACAUAAUUUUGUGUCCUAUAUCAAUGUAACAUUGUGUCCUAUAUCAAUGUAACAUUGUCCUAUAUCAAUGUAAAAUUGUGUACUAUAUCAAUGUAACAUUGUGUCGAAUAUUAAUAAAACAUUGUGUUCUAUAUCAAUGUAAAAGUAUGUCCUAUAUCAUUGUAACUUUGUGAUCUAUUUCAACGUGAUAUUUUAUCCUAUAACAAUGUAACAUUGUGUCCUAUAUAAACGAAACAUUGUUUCCUUUAUCAAUGUAACUCUGUGCCUUAUGUAAAUGUUACAUUGUGUCCUAUAUCAAUGUAACAGUAUGUCCUACCGUAUAUGAAUGUAACAUUGUGUCCUACAUCAACGUAACAAUGUGUCCUACAGUAUAUGACUGUAACAUUGUGUCCUAUAUCAUUCUAACAUUGUGUGCUAUAUCAACGUAAAAUUGUGUCCUAUAUCAAUGCAACAUUGUGUCCUAUAUCAAUGUAACAUUGUGUCCUAUAUCAAUGUAACAUUGUCUCCUAUAUCAAUAUAACAGUGUAUCCUAUAUCAAUGCAACAUUGUGUCCUAUAUCAAUGUAACAUUGUGUCCUAUAUCAAUGUAACAUUGUCUCCUAUAUCAAUGUAACAUUGUGUCCUAUAUCAAUGAAGCAGUGCGUGCUAUAUCAAUGUAACAUUGUGUCCUACAGUAUAUCAAUGUAACAUUGUGGCCUAUAUCAAUGUGACAUGGUGUACUAUAUUUAUGUAACAGUAUGUCCUAUAUCAAUGUAACAAUGUCUCCUAUAUCAAUGCAAAUAAGUUUUAUAUAUCAAUGUAACAUUGUGCAUAUAUCAACAUAAAAUGGUGUCCUAUAUCAAUGUAACAUUUUGUCCUAUAUCAAUUUAACUGUAUGGCAUACAUCAAUGUAACAUUGUGUUCUAUAUCAAUGUAACAUUGUGCCCUAUAUUGAGUGAUCAGUAUGUCCUAUAUCAAUGUAGCAUUGUGUCCUAUUUCAAUGUAA